GGGAUGAGGGGACUCGGCUGUGUCCUCGGCCGCGGUGGUGGCAUCAGCAUCGCCCUCAGAAGUGAGGGGACCUGGCCACGUCCUCGGUGGCCGUGGUGGUGGCCGUGGCCUCGCUCUUGAAGGUGAGGGGUGCUGGCCAUGUCGUGAUGACGUCCGUCGCGUCCCCCUCGAAGGCGAAGGGACCUGGCCGUGUCCUCGGUGGCUACGGCGUCACCUGCGAAGAUGAGGGGCUGCGGCCACGUCCUCGGGGUCCACGACGCCACCCUUGAAAGCGAGGGACUGAACCGUGUCCUCGACGUCCAUGGCGGUGACCACGAGGCGCCAUGUCCAUGUCCUCGCUCUCCGUGGUGUCACCCGCGCAGACGAGCCGCUGUGUCCAUGUCCUCCCUGUCCGUGGUGUCACCCGCGCAGACGAGACGCUGUGUCCAUGUCCUUGCUCUCCAUGGUGUCACCCUCGAAGACGAGGCGCCAUGGCCAUGUCCUCGCUGUCUGUGCUGUCACCCGCGCAGACGAGACACUGUGUCCAUGUCCUCACUGUCCGUGGUGUCACCCACGAAGCUGCCAUGUCCACAUCCGUGCCCUCGCUCAUGUCCGUGGUGUCACCCGCGCAGACGAGACGCUGUGUCCAUGUCCUUGCUCUCCAUGGUGUCACCCUCGAAGACGAGGCGCCAUGGCCAUGUCCUCGCUGUCUGUGCUGUCACCCGCGCAGACGAGACACUGUGUCCAUGUCCUCACUGUCCGUGGUGUCACCCACGAAGCUGCCAUGUCCACAUCCGUGCCCUCGCUGUCCAUGGUGUCACCCUCGAAGACGAGGCACCGUGGCCAUGUCCUCGGUGUCCGUGCUGUCACCUGCGAAGAUGAGGGCACCUGGCUGUGCCCUUGGUGUCCAUGGUGUCACUCGGGAAGGUGAGAGGCCCCAGCCAUGUCCUCGGUGCCCACGGUGUCACCCUCGAAGACGAGGCGCCGUGGCUGUGCCCUCGGUGUCCAUGUUGUCACCUAUGAGGAUGAGGGCACCUGGCCGUGCCCUCAGUGUCCACGUUGUCACCUGUGAAGAUGAGGGCACUUGACUGUGCCCUCGGUGUCCGUGUUGUCACCUGUGAAGACGAGGGCACCUGGCUGUGUCCUCGGGGUCCGUGGUGUCACCUGCGAAGACGAGGGCACCUGGCCGCGCCCUUGGCGUCCACAACGUCACCCUCGAACAUGAGGGCACCCGGCCACGUCCUCGGUUUCCCCCUCGUAGACGAGGCGCCGCGGCGUCCCCCGCGAAGGCCGCGCGCGUCCCGGCGCGUCAUACCUCGGACUCGAGGCUGGAGAAGUGGGCGGAGCCGCGGCGGGCGCCCAGCUCG
rnacentral:lncRNA from 1 species